GAUGAACGCUGGCGGCGUGCCUAAUACAUGCAAGUCGAGCGAACAGACGAGGAGCUUGCUCCUUUGACGUUAGCGGCGGACGGGUGAGUAACACGUAGGUAACCUACCUAUAAGACUGGGAUAACUUCGGGAAACCGGAGCUAAUACCGGAUAAUAUUUCGAACCGCAUGGUUCGAUAGUGAAAGAUGGCUUUGCUAUCACUUAUAGAUGGACCUGCGCCGUAUUAGCUAGUUGGUAAGGUAACGGCUUACCAAGGCAACGAUACGUAGCCGACCUGAGAGGGUGAUCGGCCACACUGGAAGUGAGACGCGGUCCAGACUCCUACGGGAGGCAGCAGUAGGGAAUCUUCCGCAAUGGGCGAAAGCCUGACGGAGCAACGCCGCGUGAGUGAUGAAGGUCUUCGGAUCGUAAUACUCGGUUAUUAGGGAAGAACAAACGUGUAAGGAACUGUGCACGUCUUGACGGUAACUAAUCAGAAAGCCACGGCUAACUACGUG
rnacentral:rRNA from 1 species